AUUGAACGCUGGCGGCAGGCCUAACACAUGCAAGUCGAACGAGUGGCAGACGGGUGAGUAAUGUCUGGGAAACUGCCUUAUGGAGGGGUAUAACUACUGGAAACGUUAUCUAAUACCACAUACCAUCAGAUGUGCCCCGAUGGGAUUAGCUAGUAGGUGGGGUAAAGGCUCACCUAGGCGACGAUCCCUAGCUGGUCUGAGAGGAUGACCAGCCACACUGGAACUGAGACACGGUCCAGACUCCUACGGGAGGCAGCAGUGGGGAAUAUUGCACAAUGGGCGCAAGCCUGAUGCAGCCAUGCCGCGUGUAUGAAGAAGGCCUUCGGGUUGUAAAGUACUUUCAGCGAGGAGGCGUUACUCGCAGAAGAAGCACCGGCUAACUCCGUGCCAGCAGCCGCGGUAAUAC
rnacentral:rRNA from 1 species